GGGAUCUGGUCUGUGAAUAAGAUACCUGAAGAUUUAAGCUGCAAGCAGGGUAGCUAACCUUCAAGAAUUUCUGCAACCUGCCCAAAAAUCAACAUUUAGGGUUGUCCAAGACCUUUUGAAACUGAGAGCAGAACCUGAGAAUAGCCAGUAGUAAGGGGAUGUGGGAAAACCAGGUGCAAGACCUUACAUCUGCCCUGUCUCAGAGGUCAAGAUGUGACUGCGAGAGGAUACCCCGUGGGACAGAAAGGACUCCAGGAGGGACCCAGAGGCAAACCAGUGACACAGAUAGAGGAACCAAAGCGAGAGAGGGAAGUGGCCCAAGGAGCUGAUUUAGGGGCACUCAUCUCUAGGCUGCACAUUUUGAAUUAUUGUUUCAUUGGGGCCUGGACUGGAACCUGGUGGAGCAAGGAGGGCCCAGGUUCCCAUACCCCCAGCUGUUGACUCUCACCACUAGGCAAUAUGACCACAGACUCUCGCCGCUGGAUACUGCCAGGCUUGGACCCCAAUCUCCAUCUCCUGACACACCCUCAAUUGAGAGAGCAGCCACAUCCCCUGCAGAUUCCUCCUUAUGGUUUAGCUUUACCCACCAUCAUCUCCUGUGUCUUGUUCAGAUUUAUCCAAACCAAACCUAGCAUGCCAGCCCUUUCAUUCCUUACUAGUUGUCAAAGUCUAUAAUACAGACACAGUAGCUUCUUGCCAUCUUUAUUUCAUGCUUUAUGCACCCUCAUCACCUGGUGGCAGUAUUAGAAACACACAACAAGAUUGUCUUACU